AGAGUUUGAUCAUGGCUCAGGGUAAACGCUGGCGGCGUGCCUAAAACAUGCAAGUCGAACGCAUUGUCUUCGGACAGUGAGUGGCAGACGGCUGAGUAACGCGUGGGUGACGUACCUAUUGGUGGGGAAUAACUGCCCGAAAGGGUGGCUAAGACCGCAUACGCCUGUUGAUUCAAUUCGAUAGGGAAAUUCGUGAGAAGCCGAUGGAGCGGCCCGCGUCCGAUUAGCCAGUUGGUGGGGUAACGGCCUACCAAAGCGACGAUCGGUAGCUGGUCUUAGAAGAUGAUCAGCCAGACUGGGACUGAGACACGGCCCAGACUCCUACGGGAGGCAGCAGUUAGGAAUUUUGGGCAAUGGGCGCAAGCCUGACCCAGCAACGCCGCGUGGGUGACGAAGGCCUUCGGGUUGUAAAGCCCUUUUCUGGGGGAAGAUGAUGACGGUACCCCAGGAAGAAGCACCGGCUAACUACGUGCCAGCAGCCGCGGUAAUACGUAGGGUGCGAGCGUUGCCCGGAUUUAUUGGGCGUAAAGGGCGCGUAGGCGGCUACGCACGUCCGUUGUGAAAUCGCCCGGCUCAACUGGGCGGGGUCAGCGGAUACGGCGCAGCUGGAGCAAGCUAGGGGGCAAUGGAAUUCCCGGUGUAGUGGUGGAAUGCGUAGAUAUCGGGAGGAACACCAGUGGCGAAGGCGGUUGCCUGGAGCUUUGCUGACGCUGAGGCGCGAAAGCGUGGGGAGCCCGGAUUAGAUACCCNNGUAGUCC
rnacentral:rRNA from 1 species